rnacentral:rRNA from 1 species
CUCAGUUCGGAUCGAAGUCUGCAACCCGACUUCGUGAAGCUGGAUUCGCUAGUAAUCGCGCAUCAGCCAUGGCGCGGUGAAUACGUUCCCGGGCCUUGUACACACCGCCCGUCAAGCCAUGAAAGCCGGGGGUACCUGAAGUACGUAACCGCAAGGAUCGUCCUAGGGUAAAACUGGUAAUUGGGGCUAAGUCGUAACAAGGUAUC